rnacentral:snRNA from 1 species
GUACUCGCUUCGGCAGUACAUUUACUCAAAUUGGAACGAUACAGAAAUGAUUAGCAUGACAAUGCGCAAGGAUGACUCGUAAAAUCGUCAAGCAUUCUGUAUUUAG